GCGAGCAGCCCGGUUUCGCCGAUAAAGUUACAUUGGUACUUGGAGAUUGUGCAAAACCAAAUUUAAGGUUUAUCGCCAAUCGACGAAGAAUACAUAAUUCGCAAUAUGGACAUAAUAAUCCAUUGCGCUGCCACGAUUAAUCUCAACGGAUCGCUCAGACGGACCGCGUUUAUCAAUGUCAUGUCCACUAGCCACUAGGGAUUUAUUAUUAUUAAUCGCUUGUCGAUUACACCAUUUGAAAUCCUUUGUGUAUGUGUCAACGGCAUUUGCGAACAGUAAUCAGAAAGUCGGCGAAGAGAUUAUUUAUGACUGUCGCAUACCAGGGGAUACACUAAUAAGCAUCACCGAGACGUUUUCCGAAUCAUUUAUGGAAUCUAUAACAAAACAGGUUAUGGCCGCUUACUACACAUAUUCAAUGGGACAAUUUAUG